UGAUGAACGCUAGCUCAGGCUUAACACAUGCAAGUCGAGGGGCAGCAUGGUCUUAGCUUGCUAAGGCCGAUGGCGACCGGCGCACGGGUGAGUAACACGUAUCCAACCUGCCGUCUACUCUUGGACAGCCUUCUGAAAGGAAGAUUAAUACAAGAUGGCAUCAUGAGUCCGCAUGUUCACAUGAUUAAAGGUAUUCCGGUAGACGAUGGGGAUGCGUUCCAUUAGAUAGUAGGCGGGGUAACGGCCCACCUAGUCUUCGAUGGAUAGGGGUUCUGAGAGGAAGGUCCCCCACAUUGGAACUGAGACACGGUCCAAACUCCUACGGGAGGCAGCAGUGAGGAAUAUUGGUCAAUGGGCGAGAGCCUGAACCAGCCAAGUAGCGUGAAGGAUGACUGCCCUAUGGGUUGUAAACUUCUUUUAUAAAGGAAUAAAGUCGGGUAUGGAUACCCGUUUGCAUGUACUUUAUGAAUAAGGAUCGGCUAACUCCGUGCCAGCAGCCGCGGUAAU
rnacentral:rRNA from 1 species